rnacentral:lncRNA from 10 species
GGCUUUUUGUCACAUUAAAGGUACUCAGUAAAACAUUUGCUCAAUGAAUAAAUGUAUGGCACCUGCCACUGAAAAUUAAGAAUGUCUCCAAAAUCAGACAACAUGACAUGCGUAUCUCUUUUGGGUUGCCAGUGUUGUAAUUCUACUCACACCAGUGGUAGUUCUUCUGAGGCACUAACAAGUAGUAUUUUUCUGGUGGUUAUGAUCUCACUUUCCAGCUUCUCUCAUGUAUCAGAGAUAUUUUAUAGCAGUUGAAAAUUUGAACUCUCAAAUUAGAUAAGUUGUAACUUAGAGUCCUCCACUAGGUAGCUGUGUAAACUCGGGAGUCAUAUAACUUCUCUGGGCCUCAGUUUUCCUCCAUGAAAUGGGAAGAUUGACAGCAUCCACUUCACCGAGAGGUUGUGAGGAUUAAAUGAGCUCAUUUUCAUAGAAAUGCAUUAUGGUGCUGAGCACAUAGUAAUUGUUCAAUAAAUGUUUUCUGUUAUUUGACAUAAUUGAGAAACUCUGAAAAUACUUUUUCCUCCAAAAGGGAGUAUAUAAGGAAAGAUGAUGAUUCUAUGUAAACGUCUCAAAAAAGAGCCGAGAAGUACAAAUGAGAAAAUACAAUUGAGAAAACAGAAUUUUAAAAGAUUUCAUAACCUUUUAAAUUCCUCCUUGGUUGUUUUUAUUAUCCCAGGCCUAUUUCUUUCUAAUAAUUGGCAGA